AAUGAUAUGCGUCGUAUUAGCAAGGGAUCAAGCAUGGAAAGCUAACGGGUCAAGAGGAGACAAGGAAGGGAAUACGAAAACGGACGCUCAAGGAUCGAGUACAUCAGAUUCUUACGAAAUUUAAGCCCAACCCGGAAUAAGAGGAUGAGUGAUACACGGACUUCUUCUGCUACUUAGGAAGUGAAGCGGACAUAGAUCGAGUCAAGAGCAAGGAUUGCACGGAUAGAUCGAUCGUAUAGUUGAAAUAUAUAAUGUCUAGAAAUGUAAAUUUUAAUAUGAAUGUUGUGAAUUCUUUUAUAGUACGUUUAACAUUUUAGCUUUUGGAACCUUCUCAAAAGUAAUGUCGUUAACAAG